UGCCAGCCGCCGCGGUAAGACGGAGGGCACAAACGUUGUUCGGAAUCACUGGGCGUAAAGCGCGUGUAGGCGGUUCGUUAAGUCUGAUGUGAAAGCCCGGGGCUCAACCCCGGAAGUGCAUUGGAAACUGGCGAACUAGAGUAUGGUAGAGGGAAGUGGAAUUUCCGGUGUAGCGGUGAAAUGCGUAGAUAUCGGAAGGAACACCAGAGGCGAAGGCGGUCACCUGGCUCGCAACUGACGCUGAGGCGCGAAAGCGUGGGCAGCAAACAGGAUUAGAUA
rnacentral:rRNA from 1 species